rnacentral:lncRNA from 1 species
GGAGAAACAGUACGGCUUCAAGAAAAGCUUCCCAGUUCCAGAUUCAAGUAAUGAAAGAGAGGAAAGAACCCCGAGCUGAACUAUGUAUAGCGCAGGAACAAGUGUUUUGGUGUGUGGAGGAGUAAGAAGAAAGAAGGCAUUGCCUGGUGGCAAGGGCAGCUGGAGAGGCUUCGUCUUGAAUGCUCGGAAAUGGACACAUUCGUUCCGAAACACUCCAGAGAUCAACAUAAAUCUGCAAGUGUUAGCCAUGAAAAUGGAUCUGUUUUCUACUCAGAUGUGAAGAUGAAAAUGCAGGUGUUCUUGUAUCAGAAAGCAGACCUAGGAGACUUCAGAAACAGCAACCGAGUCCACACAGUCUUCUCCAAAAUAGUUUUCUAUUACAGAGAAGGGCUUCAGAAAUAUUUUAAGAUGAAGUCAGCAUGGCUUCAGAAAAGAGAAAGGGGAGUCAGUAGUGCCGUUAUGGGAAAGGAAUUGGAUGAAUUGAACUCCAAGGUCAGUGUCUACUGGAUUUAA